rnacentral:rRNA from 1 species
UACGUAGGGGGCAAGCGUUGUCCGGAAUCAUUGGGCGUAAAGGGUGCGUAGGCGGCGCGGUAAGUCGGGUGUGAAAUCUCGGAGCUUAACUCCGAAACUGCAUUCGAUACUGCCGUGCUUGAGGACUGGAGAGGAGACUGGAAUUUACGGUGUAGCGGUGAAAUGCGUAGAUAUCGUAAGGAAGACCAGUGGCGAAGGCGGGUCUCUGGACAGUUCCUGACACUGAGACACGAAGGCCAGGGGAGCAAACGGG